rnacentral:rRNA from 1 species
AAUGUAGGUGGUUUGGUCAGUCAGGGGUGAAAUCCCUCAGCUUAACUGAGGAACUGCCCUUGAUACUGCCAGACUUGAGGACAGGAGAGGAAAGUGGAAUUCCCGGUGUAGCGGUGGAAUGCGUAGAUAUCGGGAAGAACACCAGGGGCGAAGGCGGCUUUCUGGACUGUUCCUGACACUGAGAUUCGAAAGCUAGGGGAGCAAACA